AGUGAACGCUGGCGGUAGGCCUAACACAUGCAAGUCGAACGGCAGCACAGUAAGAGCUUGCUCUUACGGGUGGCGAGUGGCGGACGGGUGAGGAAUACAUCGGAAUCUACUUUUUCGUGGGGGAUAACGUAGGGAAACUUACGCUAAUACCGCAUACGACCUACGGGUUAAAGCAGGGGAUCUUCGGACCUUGCGCGUUUGAUUGAGCCGAUGUCGGAUUAGCGAGUUGGCGGGGUAAAGGCCCACCAAGGCGACGAUCCGUAGCUGGUCUGAGAGGAUGAUCAGCCACACUGGAACUGAGACACGGUCCAGACUCCUACGGGAGGAAGCAGUGGGGAAUAUUGGACAAUGGGCGCAAGCCUGAUCCAGCCAUACCGCGUGGGUGAAGAAGGCCUUCGGGUUGUAAAGCCCUUUUGUUGGGAAAGAAAAGCAGCAGGUUAAUACCCCGCUGUUCUGACGGUACCCAAAGAAUAAGCACCGGCUAACUUCGUG
rnacentral:rRNA from 1 species